CGUAGCAUGGUGAACCUUGGGGAAAAGCCGCCUAACAUGAUUAAAUUGUAUUUUGUUCUACUAUUCCAAAAUUGUUGUGGUACAAUAUAAGGUGCAGAGUAAAGUUUAACAUGUUAGGCGGAUUUUUCACUAAGGUUCAUGUGGUUAUC